CGAACCGUGCGAACGUUGUUCGGAAUCACUGGGCUUAAAGGGAGCGUAGGCGGGCUAUCAAGUCUGGGGUGAAAUGCCGCGGCUCAACCGUGGAACUGCCUUAGAUACUGACGGCCUCGAGGGAGAUAGGGGCAUGCGGAACUGUAGGUGGAGCGGUGAAAUGCGUUGAUAUCUACAGGAACUCCGGUGGCGAAAGCGGCGUGCUGGAUCUCUUCUGACGCUGAGGCUCGAAAGCUAGGGGAGCAAACGGGAUUAGAUACCCCGGUAGUCCUAGCCCUAAACGAUGGGUACUAGGUAGUAGACUAGAUAUGGGUUUACUGCCGAAGCUAAAGUGCUAAGUACCCCGCCUGGGGAGUAUGGUCGCAAGGCUG
rnacentral:rRNA from 1 species